rnacentral:tRNA from 1 species
UCUCUGGUGGUCUAGUGGUUAGAAUUUAGCACUUUCACUCCUGUGACCCGGGUUCAAUCCCUGGUCAGGGAA